rnacentral:rRNA from 1 species
AACGAACGCUGGCGGCGUGCUUAACACAUGCAAGUCGAACGGUAAGGCCCUUCGGGGUACACGAGUGGCGAACGGGUGAGUAACACGUGGGUGAUCUGCCCUGCACUUCGGGAUAAGCCUGGGAAACUGGGUCUAAUACCGGAUAGGACCACUGCCUGCAUGGGUGGUGGUGGAAAGCUUUUGCGGUGUGGGAUGGGCCCGCGGCCUAUCAGCUUGUUGGUGGGGUGAUGGCCUACCGAGGCGACGACGGGUAGCCGGCCUGAGAGGGUGACCGGCCACACUGGGACUGAGAUACGGCCCAGACUCCUACGGGAGGCAGCAGUGGGGAAUAUUGCACAAUGGGCGCAAGCCUGAUGCAGCGACGCCGCGUGAGGGAUGACGGCCUUCGGGUUGUAAACCUCUUUCAGCACCGACGAAGCGCAAGUGACGGUAGGUGCAGAAGAAGGACCGGCUAACUAUGUGCCAGCCGCCGCCGUAA